rnacentral:rRNA from 1 species
AGUGAACGCUGGCGGUAGGCCUAACACAUGCAAGUCGAACGGCAGCACAGUAAGAGCUUGCUCUUACGGGUGGCGAGUGGCGGACGGGUGAGGAAUACAUCGGAAUCUACUUUUUCGUGGGGGAUAACGUAGGGAAACCUACGCUAAUACCGCAUACGACCUACGGGUGAAAGCAGGUGAUCUUCGGACCUUGCGCGAUUGAAUGAGCCGAUGUCGGAUUAGCUAGUUGGCGGGGUAAAGGCCCACCAAGGCGACGAUCCGUAGCUGGUCUGAGAGGAUGAUCAGCCACACUGGAACUGAGACACGGUCCAGACUCCUACGGGAGGCAGCAGUGGGGAAUAUUGGACAAUGGGCGCAAGCCUGAUCCAGCCAUACCGCGUGGGUGAAGAAGGUCUUCGGGUUGUAAAGCCCUUUUGUUGGGAAAGAAAAGCAGCAGGUUAAUACCCCGCUGUUCUGACGGUACCCAAAGAAUAAGCACCGGCUAACUUCGUG